rnacentral:lncRNA from 1 species
ACUUCCAUGAAAGGGCAUAAAAGUAGCAGUAUAGUUAGUCAUAUGUAAUCGUAGAAGUCAUAUUGCUGAAAAGUUGUACCUCCAAUUCUCAAAUUCGCAUUGCAGCUGCCGUGGCACCUUUUUAUUGGCUUAAUUAGUCUAUAGCAGUUGUUGCAGUCAGCAGUGCAACGAGUUUAUCAACCCACGUGCAAGAACAUGUAUGAUGCACAACAUAGCGAUUGACAGGUCGGAAUAUCAUAUGUACCGGCCAUGCUCUCUAAGAUUGAUGUAAGUACCAUAAAAAAUACUAACAGCUGCACCGGUGCCUUCUAUUUGUUCUUUUGUUUGUCUUUACUUUUCUAAUGUUCUCUUUGAAAUCUUUAAUCACUCUUGAUAAAUUUAUUUGUUAUAUAGUUAAUCUCCCUCUCCCCUCUUCUAUCUCCUCCUAUCUUGUGGCCUUCUGCCGGUGCAUAGGACCAUUUAAGUCUCAAAAAAUUAUAGUGCAUGGCUAGAUGCUUUUUCUAUGUUUUCAUCACAUGAUAUGAUAAAUGAUAUUAAAAAUGGAGCUCAUUUGGAAUCAAUUCAUCCAUUCUCCCAACUCAACAAUUGUUCAAGAAGCGUAGGCACUACCAUGAAGUCCCAGAGGGUAGAAGCCAGGAGGAUCAGGAAAUGAAGUUGAUAAGACAAAGCA